GGACCGUGAAUCAAUCCUAAUAUAGUGGAAGCACAAUGGCCCAGUGGUUAGGGCAGCGGACUCGCGGUUGUAGGAUCGCGGUUUCGAUUCCCAGAUCGGGUUUUGUGAGUGUUGUUUAUUGAGAGAACCCACCUAAAGUUCCACAAAGCUCCGGUAGGGGGGGUGAACCCUGCUGUAGCGUGUCCCCCCAACGUUCUCUCUUUCUUCAUGUUUCUGUUGUACCUGUAUUUCAAAGGGCCGGCCUUGUCACACUCUGUGUCACGCUGAAUCUCCCCGAGAAAUACGUUAAGGGUACACUUGUUUGUGGAGUACUCUGAUAUUUGCACGUUAAUUUUACGAGCAGGCUGUUCCGUCGAUCGGAUGAACUGGAACCCUCGAAGUUGC